GUGCUUGCUUCGGCAGCACAUAGACUAAAACUGGAAAGAAACAGAGAAGAUUACCAUGCCCCCUGCACAAGGAUGACACGCAAAUUCAUGAAACGUUACUUUGGGGU
rnacentral:snRNA from 1 species